GAAGUGGAGUGGAGUCGGGGUGGGCCGCCGGCUUCUCUUCCUCUCUCUACCCGCCGCGGCCUCCGCUACGCGGCGACCCUGCUCCGGCGGUGGUCCGAAGCCCUCCUCCAGGGAAGCGGACGGCAACGCCGGAACACUACAAGCGGUGGCUAGCUAAGCAAGCCCUAGUGGUGGCAAGGGUGUUCCUGUAGUGCCGGCGGUUCGUCUCCUUCCGGCGGUUCUUCCUCCGCCGUGCCCAGUUCCGACUUGCGCGGCGACCAGGUAGUUCGGCUGCGGCGGCUUUGGCGUUCGUUGUCUCCGGUUCCUGUACGGGCGCUUGGUUUCCCCGCGGUUGUUCCGGUUGCCCCCCUUCUUCCCGUUCCCGGCCUUCUUGUUCCCGUUACCGCCAUGGUUGGGUCCGCCGCCGCCGCCGAUGUUGCCGCCGCCGCCGCCGCCGCCGCCUCCGAAGUUGCCGCCGGCGCCGCCGCCGCCGCCUCCGAAGUUGCCGCCGGCGCCGCCGCCGCCGCCUCCGAAGUUG
rnacentral:rRNA from 1 species